CCUACGGGAGGCAGCAGUGGGGGAUAUUGGACAAUGGGGGGAACCCUGAUCCAGCGACGCCGCGUGAGUGAAGAAGUAUUUCGGUAUGUAAAGCUCUUUCAGCAGGGAAGAAAGAAAUGACGGUACCUGACCAAGAAGCCCCGGCUAACUACGUGCCAGCAGCCGCGGUAAUACGUAGGGGGCAAGCGUUAUCCGGAAUUACUGGGUGUAAAGUGAGCGUAGACGGUUAAGUAAGUCUGGAGUGAAAGGCCGGGGCUCAACCCCGGGACUGCUCUGGAAACUAUUUAACUUGAGUGCAGGAGAGGUAAGCGGAAUGCCUAGUGUAGCGGUGAAAUGCGUAGAUAUUAGGAGGAACACCAGUGGCGAAGGCGGCUUACUGGACUGUAACUGACGUUGAGGCUCGAAAGCGUGGGGAGCAAACAGGAUUAGAUACCCCUGUAGUC
rnacentral:rRNA from 1 species